GACGAACGCUGGCGGCGUGCUUAACACAUGCAAGUCGAACGGAAAGGCCCUGCUUUUGUGGGGUGCUCGAGUGGCGAACGGGUGAGUAACACGUGAGUAACCUGCCCUUGACUUUGGGAUAACUUCAGGAAACUGGGGCUAAUACCGGAUAGGAGCUCCUGCUGCAUGGUGGGGGUUGGAAAGUUUCGGCGGUUGGGGAUGGACUCGCGGCUUAUCAGCUUGUUGGUGGGGUAGUGGCUUACCAAGGCUUUGACGGGUAGCCGGCCUGAGAGGGUGACCGGCCACAUUGGGACUGAGAUACGGCCCAGACUCCUACGGGAGGCAGCAGUGGGGAAUAUUGCACAAUGGGCGGAAGCCUGAUGCAGCAACGCCGCGUGCGGGAUGACGGCCUUCGGGUUGUAAACCGCUUUCGCCUGUGACGAAGCGUGAGUGACGGUAAUGGGUAAAGAAGCACCGGCUAACUACGUGCCAGCAGCCGCGGUGAUACGUAGGGUGCGAGCGUUGUCCGGAUUUAUUGGGCGUAAAGGGCUCGUAGGUGGUUGAUCGCGUCGGAAGUGUAAUCUUGGGGCUUAACCCCUGAGCGUGCUUUCGAUACGGGUUGACUUGAGGAAGGUAGGGGAGAAUGGAAUUCCUGGUGGAGCGGUGGAAUGCGCAGAUAUCAGGAGGAACACCAGUGGCGAAGGCGGUUCUCUGGGCCUUUCCUGACGCUGAGGAGCGAAAGCGUGGGGAGCGAACAGGCUUAGAUACCCUGGUAGUCCACGCUGUAAACGGUGGGUACUAGGUGUGGGGUCCAUUCCACGGGUUCCGUGCCGUAGCUAGCGCUUUAAGUACCCCGCCUGGGGAGUACGGCCGCAAGGCUAAAACUCAAAGGAAUUGACGGGGCCCCGCACAAGCGGCGGAGCAUGCGGAUUAAUUCGAUGCAACGCGUAGAACCUUACCUGGGUUUGACAUGGAUCGGGAGCGCUCAGAGAUGGGUGUGCCUCUUUUGGGGUCGGUUCACAGGUGGUGCAUGGCUGUCGUCAGCUCGUGUCGUGAGAUGUUGGGUUAAGUCCCGCAACGAGCGCAACCCUUGUUCACUGUUGCCAGCACGUUAUGGUGGGGACUCAGUGGAGACCGCCGGGGUCAACUCGGAGGAAGGUGGGGAUGACGUCAAGUCAUCAUGCCCCUUAUGUCCAGGGCUUCACGCAUGCUACAAUGGCUGGUACAGAGAGUGGCGAGCCUGUGAGGGUGAGCGAAUCUCGGAAAGCCGGUCUCAGUUCGGAUUGGGGUCUGCAACUCGACCUCAUGAAGUCGGAGUCGCUAGUAAUCGCAGAUCAGCAACGCUGCGGUGAAUACGUUCCCGGGGCU
rnacentral:rRNA from 1 species